AGAAUAGAAUGCCUCUUCCUCCAUUCUUUGUUAGGCUAACAUCUCAUCUUACAAGCCAUGCUCAGGUGCCAUAGUUCCAGGAAGCUGUCCCUGCCCCCAUAGCCAUCCCUCUUGGGGUCUUCCUCUGGGGUCCCAUAGCACUCUAAGCUUACCUCUAUCCUAUUAAAUAAAAGUCACCUGCUUAUCCGCCAGCCUCCCCCUUGAGGAUGUGAACUCUCUACAGAUAGGGAGGGAACUGUCUUCAUGACCUUACCAAGCAUACAGCCUGGCACACAAUGGCACACUGAACACACGUGUGUCGAAUGAAUGAAUACGCUACACUCUUGUAUGGGAGUGAGUCCCAUGAAAUGAAGCUGCUUUCCGAAAAGUAAAAGGAUACCAAGAUAGUUUCAAACAGACAUACACUGUCCCAGAAUUCUUCCUGAAGCAGACGGCGUCACAGCAAGGCUGCAAUUAUAGACAUGCGCACACAUUGUUUAAAAAAAUUCAUAGAAUGCACUUCACACUGACUUUUUUUUUCUUAUUGGAAACCUGUUUACAAUCUUGUCCACUGUCAGUCUUAAAUGUCACUUUUCAGAAAGCUGGCUGCUGCCAGCAGAAAUUUAUUUUCAACUUGAAUCACAGCAUGUUCAUGCAGAGAAGCGCCUCUUUUGAAUCUCCAAAUUGGAGGGAAUUCAGGGAAGAGAAAGUGAGGUGAUUAGAAUCUGCAGAGGCCGACUCAGGAAGAAAAAUUAUGAGGCUAAAAUAUGCAUGUGUGAGCUAAACAGCAGCUAUUAGUUGGUGGAGGUGGCAAUGGUGGGGAUGGCAACUACCUAGAAACCUACCAGGACAGUGAGGCUGCAUAGCAACACGUGGAAACAAGGAAGCGGGAGCGGGAGGAAGAAACAGUGAGGGAAGCCCAGGCACCAGGAAGGACGCGUGCAUUUACAGACGGCCCUCCUGUGCCAGGUGCUGCCGAAGAGGCCGUCCUUCACUCAGCCUUUGCCCAGCAGCUAUCAUUAUUCCUAUUUUAAAGGUGAAGAACAGAUGAAGAAACUGAGGCUCAGAGGUUAAUUUGCUUUCCAACACAGAGCUGGGCAAAUGCCUCCUCCUCUUCCUUCAAGGCCCAGCCAGUGUUGCCUCCCAUGUGACCUGAAGCCUCCUUCCCGGAACCAGCGGCAGAGCACCCACAGACAUCCAGCCAGCAGCUCCCACAGGGUGUCCUCCUGCUGGGUACGGGGCAGCCUCUGCCACUAGAUGGGAUCUCAAGGCAGACACCAUUACUCAUUCACCUCUAGAUCCUAUCCGCCAGCACAAGGCUUAGCCUGGACAGGGCUGCAAUGAAUGCUUGCUGGAGUAAACACAUGGACAAUGGAGUCAUGAUGUGAACCCUGCUUGUUCAAUUGUGAGACAGUGCUUCCCCCUCCCCCAGCUGCCUCCGAGCCUCCCUCUUGUUCUCCCUGGAGGGAGUCAGGCUGGGUAGCAGAAGUGGUUACAAGACCAGAGGGAGCAUGGACAAUGGUAAUAAAUAUGUAAAAUCCAGAAUUCAUUACAUCCAGCUAAUUCCAAAUGCAAAAGACACCACAGCCUCUGAGACAGAUCCCAAUGAGGGAGUCUGAUUUGUAACUGACAAUUUGAAAAGUGGACCAGAAUUGUUUGGUCUAAAUCAUGAAAUCAUUCUCUUCUUGAUGGGCAAGAUUAGUAAAUACACAACCUCUACUAAUUUGGGGCUCAAGGGCUUAUCCCCCAGCCUGCCUCAGUUUUAGUUCUGUAAGAGACCCUCUGUGAGGUCCUUAGGGGGCCUCCCCACUCCACGUCCCUGGACUAGAGACCCUCUGGACAUGAACCUCAAAUCUCCAAAGCAGAGGAUGUAGUUCUCUUAAGGAGACAGCAUUAAAGCGAGACGUUAACAUUACAUAAAGUAAACUCUGUCCUCUGGGGGAGAGAUGCUCCACAAACCGAGAUAAAGCCACAGGAAACUGCUGUGUAUUCCGCCUUUGCGGCACAUCUCCCUUUGGGCGAGGCACAUUGCAAGUGCUCUGCAGCCACAUGUAGCCAGAGGCCACUGUACUGAAUGCGACAAGGCUGGAGUAGGGGUGGAGAUAAGUCCACUGCACUGUGUUCUCAACAGAACCACAUCCAGAAUAUCUGGUAUUUCAGGCCUUUUAGGAGGGACAAUGAUAAACCAGAGCCUGGCUAAGACUAUCUGAAGGACUGGGAGUGAGAACGGUUAGUGGAAAAGAACUGGAUCCUUCUAGCACUAGUGGGGAAAUCACCAGCAAUGAUCCGGUGUUAUGUGGCUGCAGAGUGCAGAACUAGGACUAGGGCAUGAAAACUGUGAUGAUGGCAUUUGGGCCCUUUUUAGAAUGAGGUUCCCUGACACCAGAAGGAACGGUGUAGGCCAAGGCCAGACAGCCUGCAAAAGAGGCUAUCUGUGUGGAUAGAAAGCUGAUGUCCUCUCUGAUCUGAGGCUCUGAGAUGCUAAGUAACAACAUGAAGGAAAAUGACUGGCUGCCUAGCCAACAAACCAGAAUGUACACACCCAGAGACAUUUCCUCCUUCAGGUAGUCUUCUGGGAGGUCAAGGCUUGUUCUGGCCAGCCUCACAGGUAAUUCCAGUGGCUGGAUACCCGCAUUGUGGGGCCUUACCUUGCACAGCUGCUGCCUUCAAGGAGCUUAUAAGUGAGGGUCUGCCAUGAACGCUCUAGUAUAAUGUUAGCUUGCUGGGUCUCAGCUGACUAGUCAACAGAAAGAAGAAGAAGGGUCUCUGAGCUCCUCCCCACUUACAGAUCCUGUGUGACUGCUCUUCCUGCAUCUCACAGAAAAAGAACAUUUCCAGUUGUUCUCACGGACUUCAAGGCUAGAGGUCCUCCAGCCCAUCCAGGACCCUGGGAGCCCUAGAUCUCUCCAGCACUCUCCUUUGAAUGUCUAUCUACUAAUCAUCUCUACCUGAAUGUGCUGUGUCAACAUCAACGUGUCCCAAACCAAACUCCUUCUGUCCUCACCCUCCAACAUACUCCUCUGUAACCCUAGACUUGGGUGGAGUGGGAGGGGAGUUUGCUAUUGGGCCAGUUGGCUUUGUCUUUGACCACUGGGUGCUGGAUCUUACUACCUUACGGGAGAGGGACACGUAACUCUAAAGAAACAGCUGGAAGAGAAGAUUUCCGAGGGACUCCUUCAGAGCAAGAGAGGAAGACAGAGAUGAAUUCUACAUAGAAAGCCUGAGAAGGCCUCUCAGAGAUGGCUUCCUUGCCCUCCCCAGAUGUUCACAGGGUUAACUUAAAAACGAAGCAUCAUGGAGCUGGCAAAUCAUCUCUGCAUCCCAAAGACAGUGCGACAUGUGAUAAUGACUGUGAAGCGCAGCUAAGCCCGUUAGCAGGAAUGACCAGGGAGUGAGAGGCAGCGCUGGAGUGUCACCCUCCAACAUCGUCUCUUUGUUUGAGGAUCACUAGGAAAGGAGCCAUUAGAAAAACGCUAGCCUGGUAAUAGGAGGGAAAUGGAUCUUGGCAGGGCUGUGUUACCCAUUGAGAAAUUAGCAAAAAACAUUCAGGGAAGAAAGCAGGGGCUUCUGUGCUUACCCAUUGAGGCUCUUGGGGAAUAAUGACACAUGGUUACCACCUGAGGAACCCCUGCUGAGGCAGCUGACUUGCCCAGUGGUCUACUACAGGCUCAGGUGAGUAGGAGGGUCCUUCCCAGGAGGGGCAGUGAUGCUCAGGCAGGGCUGGGAUGCUCAGGCUCCUUGCAAGAGCUGAUCCUCAAGUCUGAACCACUCCCCAGGCACUGUGUCAGGUACUAGGGAUGGGGCCAUGACUAAGACACGGCUUCAUCCUCAGGAAGCUCACACUCCCUGACAUGGUGGCACUGGAGCCUUGAGGGAGGCAGGACAGACCUCAUCACCCCCAUUCCACAUCUGUGGGCAACCAGGGAGGUUGGGGGGAGACUUGGUUUCUUUGUGAAUCGAUUCUUUGCUACUUUGCUUAGCAUCAAGUUCCUCUUGUCAUGGCAAUCACUCAGAAUACUGAGAGGGUGAAAGAGGAUGGGCGGUGCAGCGGGUCCGGAUGAAAACUUGGAGGGGUGGGAACUGCUAUGAUGUCAACUGACAGUGCCCAGAGAGCGGGGCCAUCACACCAGAAAUGCCUGCUCCAUUGCCACUUCUCUCAGAUGUCAGACACUCCUUCAUCCAGAAGACAUCCACAGAGUGUCCGUUACAGGGAGUCCCUGCCCUAUGCUCUUCCAUCCAGUGUGGUGAAGAAUCUCUAGUCCCCAGAGGAAUUUGGCUUGGAUCAGGGAUCUGAUUUCUGGGGGUCAAAUUUAGACACUUUGCCCCUAGUGGUACCGAAGAAUAGCCCGAGAAGCCCAGCUGCGGGUGAUGAAUUGUCACUCAGGGACUACGAGUGGAGGCUGCCAGGGCGGAGGGGAAGGCAUGCACGCUGAAGCACCAGGCGACCAUUGCUUGGACCGCCCCCUCCAUUGCUUCACCAAUAGCUUCUGGCUCUCUUUCCUGAGAGCAAUUUGAAAGAAAAGCAAACAUCUUGGGAGAAGCUGGGAUGAUCUGUCUCUAGGACUCUAAAAAGACUCUGAGGUUUCUGGGGGGAACUUCUCUGCACCAGGGAUGCUACAUCCCAGGAAAACAGGGGUCUGGGCAAGUAGCCAGAGGCCCCCCACAUUUCCUAGAAGAAUGGCACAUUCCCCUAGGAAAUUGCUUUGAGUGGGCAGGGCUCAGGGUCUCUCAAAUGACAGCUGCUUCACUGUCAGGCGUUUUCAUGUCACCUUGUACUGCUGGAAGAGGCUCCAAAGAUGAGGCUGGAUGGCCUAGAGCUUCCUACUUGCUAAUAAAACUGACUUUUUUACACUGGCUGUCCAAAGGAACCUGGAGCAGUGCGAAGCAUAUGGGCCUGGAGUUGGCCUAAUCUGAGUUUAACUCCUGGUUUUGCCAUUCCCCGGAAGUCUGGAGGUCCUGGGAAUACACCCGCACCCUCUUGGAUCAAACCUGGGCCAUCUAUGAAGCUGGCAUGGUGGGGGUACGUCAGUUUCAUAGAUGAGACAACUGAGGCCAAAUGACUUUUAAGGGAUAGACCUAGGACUAGAAACCAGGACUCCUGAUACUGAGUUCAAGAUUUUCCAGAGCCUCUUAGGAGCCUUGGUCAGGGGUGGCUCAAGGUUACAGAACACACCCUUAAAAGUGCAGCUAAGAAUACGAUUUCCUUCUGGUCCUCAGAUGGAUCUUUAAGCCAGAUCAUCCCUAUUAAAGGAAACACAGUCUGAUGAUCCCAUUUCCUGGCCUAUGCACAAGUGCCUACUCUGCCUAGAAGCCUUACCCCACCUUCUAACUAUUCAAUAAGCUCCUAAUCAUCUUUUAGGACCUGCCUCACUUAUUACCUCUUCCACUGAGAAGCCUUCAGGCCCUUUUUUUGUACUUUUUUUUUUGAGACAGAGUCUUACUCUGUUGCCCAGGUUGGAGUGCAGUGGUGCAAUCUCAGCUCACUGCAACCUCUGCCUCCCGGGUUGAAGCGAUUCUCAUGCCUCAGCCUCCUGAGUAGCUGGAAUUACAGGUGUGUGCCACCACGCCAGGAUAAUUUUUGUAUUUUUAGUAGAGACGGGGUUUUGCCAUGUUGCCCAGGCUGGUCUUGAACUCCUGACCUCAGGUGAUCUGCCCAUCUUGGCCUCUCAAAGUGCUGGGAUUACAGGCACGAGCCACUGCACCUGGCCUUUUGUACUUCUCUUGUAUGUCUAUCUAUUAUGACCCAUCAUUGUCUCUUUCUCUCUCUCUCUCUCUCUCUCUCUCUCUUAUAAUGUCUGUUUCCCUCACAGGGCUUGAGGAGUUUGGGGACAAGGGGCCAUGCCUUAUUCACCUCUUUAUCACCAGUAGCCAGCAGUGCUGGACACUGGGAGCCAAACGAAUGUGUUGAGUGCAUGGUCUCAGUAAAUCCAGGAAUUCUGAGAGCUGGGAAUAGCUCUGAGAGGAUGAGCUUUCAUUAACACAUGCAGCUCUUCCCGCCUUGGGUGGACAUUCAAAUGGCCCAUGUGGCUAAGUCACAACACCACGAGUCAAAGGCCCACUUUCCUUCUCAAAGGAAACAUUUAAAAAACCACGGGUGUUACAAAUGGCCACUUUCUCCAGGAUGAAAGACAUCUGGGGGAGGAGGCAAAGAGGAGAGAGCAAAAUAUCAGGUCUGUGUGGUCACAGCCCAUGAUACUUCUACAUCUUGAGAGAACCCACCGAUCAAUAUGAAGCAAGUGAUUUCUCAAUUCCUUUAGAAGGACCGUAGGUUAGACUGUUAGAUUCUUUUAAAGACAAGCAAGAAUCCUGCUGUUACAGACUCCUCCAGUUCUUGUCCAUCCUUUUUCUUCUAACUCCCCACACUAAGCUAUCUUCAUGGCCCAUGACACGUAUGGAAAGUAACUAUCCAAGUAUUUUAAAGCACUAUUUUCCUAUUGUUAUAAUGGCCCCAAUAAGGGCACCAUUGUUCCUUAGCGGUAUACAUGCUUCAUUCUAGUAAUUAGCUGUCAGAGAGGACCCGACAGCAGCUUAAUGUUGUCCGCUCAAAUCAUAUUAAUGAAAUGCAAUCCACUCAAAUGUCCUGAAUGCAUAUCUGUAAUUGCGUUAAGCAGAGAGGCUGGGGACAUCAGGAUCAAACUUCAGUCUCUGAACAGAGCAUUACGAUCAAGCACAUUAAUCCAUUAUUUCUUCAGAAUCUGACAGCCAAUUAAUAUACCCGGCCUUCAUA
rnacentral:lncRNA from 10 species